GUGAUAUCAGAUCAGUUACUGAAAUUCUCUGUUUAUAUACAGGCCAGGUACAUAGGGGGAGGGCCCAGUGCUUUCAAGCUUCCACACACAGCGCUGCCCAUCUACCUAAACUCUGAUUUGAAAGGACCACUCACUGCUGGGGUGAGAGAAGAAAAUUCAUUACUCCAUAUCCAUUCCAUCACAGAACCCCU
ensembl:misc_RNA